GACGAUUGUUGUUAUAUCGAAUGCAUUCCUAUGUUAGUGUUUCAAACAACAGAGAUCGUAUCCUGAUAAUAAUUCCGCGGCUUUUAACGUACCCCUCCUGCUUGACGUUGGAAUUCGCUCUAAUCUCGCAGCCAUCCGCUACAUAGUUGCUAUUCGUCGACGCAGGAUGGAUCGAACAAGGGUACAACAUACAGUUUGACGAAUCACGUAUCUGUAUAUGAUGAAUAAUCGUUACAAAGCAGAUGAUGUGCGGGACUGAUUGCACUGUGGUUAAACAGAAAAAUUUAGAGAAAUUCUCAGCAAGCAUCAGUUUCAUCUACCUGCAAUUCAGUAUGUAGCAACUGUCUAAUAAACUGAAAACCGUUCAACCCUCAGUAUAAAGUGUUUCAUUGGUUCAUCAUAUAAACUGUAUGAAGAUGUUGCGAUGAGUAAAUCGUAAAUUGUAUUGUUAGA